AUUAUUAAUUUUCUUUUAUUUUUCAAAUUGUGAGUCGUUGCCGCAUAUACUCACUAUGUAGGAACUUUAUCAAUUUGUCUUGUUGAAAGCUAUUUUAAUUGAUGCUAUAAAGUAAUAAAGAUAAGCGGUGGUGGGGGGAGAGAGUAAAUGGGCUUAGUUGAAAGGCGGGGGCCCAACGAGAAAAAUGAAAGCAGUCAAAUAUCAGUAUUCAUAUGCUCAUUAGUCUCGGCCCAAAAUCUAUCUCUAUUUGUGUCCAAAUCGGGUUUAAAGGAUUUGGACAGUAAGCAUAAACAGACCAUCUCAUAUAAUUGGGAGUUGGCUCAUCACCAAAUUUCGUGUGAUUAAUAUAUGAGUUGGACCAUUGGUACUGCUUAUUAAUCUUAUAUUGGCACCCCUUAUUAAUUUUAUAAAAAUCUUAUUGUAUUUGAAGGGGUUAGAUUUUUACCUUCUUGUGAAAAACUUGUCAUGAUUAGUUAGCCUAUAAUCAAACAGAGAAAGAAUGUGAAAAAGGCACUCUAAUGUUUAAAUUUGUAGUUUUUUUAAGUUGAGAAAUGAAGAUGUUUCUCUUAGAGAUGGGCCUCUUUUAUAAAAUUAGACGACAUGAAAUUAAGAUUUAAAACGAGACCUUAAUUCCAAGGGCACGUGUAUGUGCAUUUAUUCGGAAGAAUUUUGUACAUUAUUCUUUGUAUGCCAUUUGCCUUUCUCUCAUGCUCUUGGUCAUGGUCUCUUUAGGUGAGAGAUCCUGGACCAUGUUAGGCCUAGUUUCUUUUUUUAUUCUUAUUUGCUUUUGUACACUAAACUACUGAAGGGGCUUUAUUCUGAAUAUCGUCUUAUAGGAAAUGAUCAUUCCUAAGCUAAUGCUCUUGAUCAUGAUUCCUUUAGGUGAUAAAUUCGGGACCAUAUUGAAUCUAGUUCCUCCUGGCUUUAUUCCGUAUGUCAUCUUAUCCCCAAAAACUUUCCUUAGUUAAUUGAGAUGGACACGUGGCAAUAUAUGGUUCCCUGGAGAAUUGGGUGCCUACACUAUUAUAAUUAAAUAUAAUUUAAGGAUAUAUACAAAUAGAAAUAAUCCCAUGUAUAUUUUCUCUCUUUACUUUAUUUUACUUGCACAUGUUCACUUUUCUUUCUUUAUUUACUUUUGUAGUUUCAUCUGUACAA
rnacentral:lncRNA from 1 species